ensembl:lncRNA
UGUUAUCAUGGUUCCGAACAGGAAUAUAAAGGACGAGCUUGGAGGAAGAUAUGUGAAGAGAUCGGGCAACCUGAACCAACUGAUUCUGCAGCAGAGCAUCCCCUGUUGCUUCUCCUGGCUCCCCAGUCCCUGAGCUCCUGCUGCUGCACCCACAGGUAUGUACAGCAAGCACUGAUAGCUCUUUACUCUGUGGGAUUGCCUGUGAUCACCUUUACUAAAUAUCUACAACCAAUCUGAUUAGAUCCUGUUUUUUUUUGGUUUUUUUUUCAAUGUUGAAAAUGAAAAUCUAGUAGCAGCCUUCUCAUUUCUUUGUGUUUUGUGCUGUUUUACAGGCCCACCCACAGAGGAGGACAGCUCUGAGGCGGAUGAGGGACGGGUCCCAGGACGGUCCAUCGGUGGUGGAGCUGGCCAUCCUGGUGUCCCUGAAGAGUCCACACCAGUCUCCAAUGGAGCAUUUCCUCCUCAGCCUUGUUCCUGCUCUGGAGAUCAGCUGGUCCUUUUUAUUCCUGUCUCUCUGUAAAUACUUAUAUUUUAUAUAUUUAUGUUUAAUGAUUUUCUGUUUGAGAAUUUUAAUAUUAUUUCAAAUAAAUUUUUAUAAUGACUGAUGUCUCAGUUCUACUACACAGCAAAUGUUGGCACACGACUUGACACAUGUAGAAUUUAUUUCAUAUUAUACUAAUGACAAAAUAUACUAAUACAGUGGGAUGCAAAAAGUUUGGGCAACCUUG